GAUGGCAAGAUUUUCUGUAAGAUUCCAAACUUCUUUACUUAUUUAUUUUAAGUAGAAGUUUACAUGAUCCCUCAAUUACUUCCCACCUUAAAGCUCUGAUAUACAGUGGAUGUCAACGGUAUUCUUUAAAAAAAAAAUCUGCAUAACUUUUAGUCUGCUGUUAUCCUAGGGAUUUGCUAACUGGAAGCAUUGUUCACUAUUGAGAAAAUCACAUUUAUUUUCAUGUUGCAGUUUUAGAUUGUUGAUUGGAACUGUAGUGUUCCAAUAAGAAUAAAAGCUAUUCUUUUCUCUUAGGAUUUGUCUCUCUCAAC
rnacentral:misc_RNA from 1 species